rnacentral:rRNA from 1 species
CCUACGGGAGGCAGCAGUGGGGAAUUUUGGACAAUGGGCGCAAGCCUGAUCCAGCAAUGCCGCGUGAGUGAAGAAGGCCUUCGGGUUGUAAAGCUCUUUUGUCAGGGAAGAAACGGUGGGAGCUAAUAUCUCCUGCUAAUGACGGUACCUGAAGAAUAAGCACCGGCUAACUACGUGCCAGCAGCCGCGGUAAUACGUAGGGUGCAAGCGUUAAUCGGAAUUACUGGGCGUAAAGCGUGCGCAGGCGGUUUUGUAAGACUGUCGUGAAAUCCCCGGGCUCAACCUGGGAAUGGCGAUGGUGACUGCAAGGCUAGAGUUUGGCAGAGGGGGGUAGAAUUCCACGUGUAGCAGUGAAAUGCGUAGAUAUGUGGAGGAACACCGAUGGCGAAGGCAGCCCCCUGGGUCAAAACUGACGCUCAUGCACGAAAGCGUGGGGAGCAAACAGGAUUAGAUACCCUGGUAGUCCACGCCCUAAACGAUGUCUACUAGUUGUCGGGUCUUAAUUGACUUGGUAACGCAGCUAACGCGUGAAGUAGACCGCCUGGGGGAGGUACGGUCGCGAGAAGUUAAACGUAACAAAGUAGUAAGUUAGUACGGCGUGAGACGUACGACCGACGGACGACGACGAGGGGAGGAGG